UCUUAAUGUCGAAAAGUUGAAAACUUUAAAGAAAUUUAAAAAUACGUUCCUUGUAUUAAAAAGUUGAAAAUUUUGGGAAAAGGGGACACAUUCCGCGUUAAUCGAGAAAGAAAGCAUCAUAUCCAGUAAGUUAGGACACAAUGUCUCGAAUUUCCGAUACGCGAAUGAAUGCCAAAAUUUUAUUUAUUUAAAAAGAUAUUUUAUUAUCUCGGGUUUAGGAAAGGGAU
rnacentral:lncRNA from 1 species